CCUCUCAGGGCCUCACAGUGAAGCUCCAGCAGGUCCCCCACCACAGUGUGGGCCCUGGGAGCCCUGAAGGAGACCUUAGUGGCUGACAGAGAACCUAAACCCUGGCUUGCAACUCGAGGCUGUGUGAAAGGAAUCGGAACUUACUUCUCACGGUGACUCGAAUCCACGUGCUGAGGAUGGGGCUGUGAACGUUAUCAGCUGCACAGUAGUAUCUCCCUGCAUCACUCUCCUUCACGGGCAUAAGAAACCCACAGCCAAUAUCAUACUGAAUGAGCAAAAGCUGGAAGCAUUCCCCUUGAAAACCGGCCCAAGACAAGGAUACCCUCUCUUACCACUCCUAUUCAACAUAGGAUUGGAAGUUCUGGCCAGGGCAAUCAGGCAAGAGAAAGAAAUAAAGGUAUUCAAACAGGAAGAGAG
rnacentral:lncRNA from 1 species